AUCGCUUCUCAGCUCUCCGAGCUAAGAUCAUGUGUAGUACCGGUUCUUUGCAGUAUAAUUUCUGUAACGGUUUCUAAACUGAAGCCAAUAAAAUUACCUGUAUACUCCAA
rnacentral:snRNA from 1 species